UCUCACUCUUAAGGCGGACUGCCGUUGACAAAACGGAGGAAGAGGGGGACGACGUCAAAUCAUCAUGCCCNUUAUGUCCNGGGCUACACANGUAAUACAAUGGCGGUCAACAGAGGGAAGCAAAGCCGCGAGGCAGAGCAAACCCCUAAAAGCNGUCUCAGUUCGGAUUGCAGGCUGCAACUCGCCUGCAUGAAGUUGGAAUUNCUAGUAAUCGUGGAUCAGCAUGCCGCGGUGAAUACGUUCCCGGGCCUUGUACACACCGCCNGUCACACCAUGAGAGUUGGGAACACCCGAAGUCNGUAGUCUAACCGCAAGGAGGGCGCGGCCGAAGGUGGGCCUGAUAAUUGNGGUGAANUCNUANCAGGGUUAAACCGUAAUA
rnacentral:rRNA from 1 species